rnacentral:tRNA from 1 species
GGGGCUAUAGCUCAGUGGUAGAGCACUUGCCUUGCUUGCAUGAGGCACUGGGUUUGAUUCUUAGCACCA